GCAAGUCGAACGAACUAGUUUACUAGUUAGUGGCGAACGGGUGAGUAACACGUAAGGAAUCAACCCUUAACACGAGGAUAACUCUGGGAAACUGGAGCUAAUACUGGAUAGGAUAUAUUAACAGAAGCUGAUAUAUUUAAAGAUGCUUUCGGGCAUCGGUUUAGGCUGACCUUGCGUCGCAUUAGAUAGUUGGUGGGGGUAACGGCCCACCAAGUCAACGAUGCGUAGCUGAGCUGAGAGGCUGAAC
rnacentral:rRNA from 1 species